GGGUAGGUGCCCGAGUGGUUAAAGGGAACAGACUGUAAAUCUGUCACCGUGAGGUUACGAUGGUUCGAAUCCAUCCCUGCCCA
rnacentral:tRNA from 1 species